GCCCUCUUAGCGCAGUAGGCAGCGCGUCAGUCUCAUAAUCUGAAGGUCCUGAAUUCGAGCCUCAGAGAGGGCA